UUCCCCCUAAAACGAAAGCCCUAAAUACAUUCAGACCACCCAAACACCACUUGCGAUCUGCACCAUUUGCAGCACUCAUUCUCGAUUUGUGAAUUCUUCUCCUUCCUUUACCAGGUUUAUGGUUACUUUCGGACCUUCCAAACCUUUCACCUUUAUUUUUGGUUGGUGGCUCCCUUCCACACCUUUCUUUCUUCCAACUCUUCCUCUGCAAUCCCUUCCAAACCUUUCAGAUCUCAUUUUUCUUAUUAUCUUCUUUGUCCGCAAGUCGAAAGGCUUGCUCAUAUUUUUUUUUUCAGUUAAAAGGGUUUUUUCAUUUGACGAACACAAAGCAACAAAAUAGGUCUUGGAUGAAAAGGCUGAAAAGUGGGAAGUUGGAUUUGGGUGUUAGGAGGGACAUACUUGAUUGGAUUUGGAAGGAGCAUACUAUUUGUUAUUGGAUGUUAGGAGGGACAUACUUGAUUGGAUUUGGAAGAGUUUUUUCAUUUGACGAACACAAAGCAACAAAAUAGUUCUUGGAUGAAAAGGUAACAUUUUUGUUUAUAUUUUGUUUAUUAAAUUUAUUUUAUAUAUCAAUUUGUUGUUUUUCAAUUUUUUUGAGAUUACUUGCAUUUUCUGAGGAUUGAUUACUUGCAAAGGCUGAAAAGUGGGAAGUUGGAUUUGGGUGUUAGGCGGGACAUACUUGAUUGGAUUUGGAAGGAGCAUACUAUUUGUUAUUGGAUGUUAGGAGGGACAUACUUGAUUGGAUUUGGAAGUCAACAAGCAGGUUAUCUUACAACUUUAGUUCCAUAUUGCAUUCAUUAAGCAGGUAACAUGUUCUUUUUCUUUUAUUUUCUUGACAUUGAUAUGAUUUAGUUGUUCAACUGUAUUAAUAAUUAAUAUAAAUUGUGGAUUUGAUUAGAUAAUUAUGAUUUGAUGGAAUUUAUUAUUGUAUGAAUGUCAUUACAAUAUAUUAUGGAGUUCUUUAUGAAAAUAUGGUGGUAUGGCAUUAUAUAGUAACUUUUGGUAGUUGUUUUUGAAAAAAAAAAUGUUAAGUCAUUGGAAAGUUAUAUUAGUUUUGAAUAUUGUAAGCUUGAGCUCCAUAUUCCAGUGGAUAAGUAGGUUAUAAGUUCUUUUAUUGUGUUAUUGUAUUGUGUAUUGUGUUUGAAUUUGUUUAUAUGCAUGGUCUUUCAUGGUUUUAAGUUCAUUAUGUAUUGUGUUUGAAUUUGUUUUUAUGCAUAGUCUUUUAUGGUUUUAAGUUUGUAUUAUACUUAUAAGAAAAAAAGUAAUAUGCAUAUACUUUGUUUUGUAGUACAAUAUUGUGAUUGAUUGUUUUUAUAAUUUCAGACUAUAAAGAACUUAGACAACAUUUAAGUCCUCAUUGAUCAUUUGAAAAUUGAGAUUUAAUUUGUAUAGCAGAAUGUGAAAUUUGUAAUUAAGUAUAAUGUUGUGAAGGUUGUAGUAGAGGAGAUCAAGAAGUUUGAGGUUUUCACAAAGAUUGUUGAAAAUUUAAGAGUAAUUGUUGUUUUAGGACAAUUCAUUUGUUCUGUUUCUGUUUCUGGUGGAAUUUUAUGAUUUUCAGUUAUAAUUUAUUCAUGAAAAGUUGUAUUUAUGUUGUAAAUAAAUAUUGGUAAAGUGUAUUACUUUGGUUUGUGUAGGAAGCUAAAACUUAUUAUGUUGAGA